GGUUCUAAAGUAAAUUCAUAAAAAGAAUGUAAUAGAACUAAAAGGACGCGGUAACCUUGACCGUGAUAAUGUAGCAUAAUCACUCGCCAUUUAAUUGGUGGAUAGUAUGAAUGGUUGAACGAAUAUUCCACUGUCUUAAAGAGAAUUAAAAGAAAUUGAAAUAAUAGUUAAGAUGCUAUUUUAAACUGUAAGACGAAAAGACCCUAUAGAGCUUAACUAUAAUCUCUAUUAUAAUAACAAAUCAUUUAUUUGUAAGCUAUAGAGAUUGGUAGUUUAGUUGGGGCGACUAUCUUUUAAAUUAAACAAAGAUAAGCAAUAUUAAUAGAUAAUUUAUUGUAUAAUUAAUUUAUUUAACAAUUAUAAAAAUAGGCUAUAGUGACCCGUUAAUACUACGUAAAAAGAUUAACGAUCAAUUGAUAAAAGCUACCUUAGGGAUAACAGGAUAAUUUCAUUUUAGAGCUCCUAUCGAAAAUGAAGUUUGUCACCUCUAUGUUGAAUUAA
rnacentral:rRNA from 1 species